UGCCAGCCGCCGCGGUAAUACGAAGGGUGCUAGCGUUGUUCGGAAUUACUGGGCGUAAAGAGCAUGUAGGCGGAUGAAUUAGUCAGAGGUGAAAGCCCCGAGCUCAACUUGGGAACUGCCUUUGAUACUGUUUAUCUAGAGUCCGAGGGAGGUUAGUGGAAUUCCCAGUGUAGAGGUGAAAUUCGUAGAUAUUGGGAAGAACACCAGUAGCGAAGGCGGCUAACUGGCUCGGUACUGACGCUGAGGCACGAAAGCCAGGGGAGCGAACGGGAUUAGAUA
rnacentral:rRNA from 1 species